rnacentral:rRNA from 1 species
UUGACCUCGGAUCAGGUAGGAAGACCCGCUGAACUUAAGCAUAUCAAUAAGCGGAGGAAAAGAAACCAACAGGGAUUGCCCUAGUAACGGCGAGUGAAGCGGCAACAGCUCAAAUUUGAAAUCUGGCUUCGGCCCGAGUUGUAAUUUGCAGAGGAAGCUUUAGGCGCGGCACCUUCUGAGUCCCCUGGAACGGGGCGCCAUAGAGGGUGAGAGCCCCGUAUAGUUGGAUGCCUAGCCUGUGUGAAGCUCCUUCGACGAGUCGAGUAGUUUGGGAAUGCUGCUCAAAAUGGGAGGUAAAUUUCUUCUAAAGCUAAAUACCGGCCAGAGACCGAUAGCGCACAAGUAGAGUGAUCGAAAGAUGAAAAGCACUUUGAAAAGAGGGUUAAAUAGCACGUGAAAUUGUUGAAAGGGAAGCGCUUGUGACCAGACUUGCGCCGGGCGGAUCAUCCGGUGUUCUCACCGGUGCACUCCGCCCGGCUCAGGCCAGCAUCGGUUCUCGCGGGGGGAUAAAGGUCCUGGGAACGUAGCUCCUCCGGGAGUGUUAUAGCCCGGGGCGUAAUGCCCUCGCGGGGACCGAGGUUCGCGCAUCUGCAAGGAUGCUGGCGUAAUGGUCAUCAGCGAC